rnacentral:rRNA from 1 species
AAAACUUUCAGCAACGGAUCUCUUGGUUCUGGCAUCGAUGAAGAACAGCAGCGAAAUGCGAUAAGUAAUGUGAAUUGCAGAAUUCAGUGAAUCAUCGAAUCUUUGAACGCACAUUGCGCCCGCCAGUAUUCUGGCGGGCAUGCCUGUCUGAGCGUCA